GAUGAACGCUGGCGGCGUGCCUAAUACAUGCAAGUCGAGCGAACAGAUAAGGAGCUUGCUCCUUUGACGUUAGCGGCGGACGGGUGAGUAACACGUGGGUAACCUACCUAUAAGAAUGGAAUAACUCCGGGAAACCGGGGCUAAUGCCGGAUAACAUUUAGAACAGCAUGGUUCUAAAGUGAAAGAUGGUUUUGCUAUCACUUAUAGAUGGACCCGCGCCGUAUUAGCUAGUUGGUAAGGUAACGGCUUACCAAGGCAACGAUACGUAGCCGACCUGAGAGGGUGAUCGGCCACACUGGAACUGAGACACGGUCCAGACUCCUACGGGAGGCAGCAGUAGGGAAUCUUCCGCAAUGGGCGAAAGCCUGACGGAGCCACGCCGCGUGAGUGAUGAAGGUCUUCGGAUCGUAAAACUCUGUUAUUAGGGAAGAACAAAUGUGUAAGUAACUGUGCACGUCUUGACGGUACCUAAUCAGAAAGCCACGGCUAACUACGUG
rnacentral:rRNA from 1 species